rnacentral:tRNA from 1 species
CGCAAGUUGGGUCGGCACAGUUUGCAUCGGGCGUUGCUGUGAGCGAUGCAGUGGGGGCUGGUAGAUCUUUCCGAAGGGUUCAAGUGUCCCUGAUCCGCGC